GCGCCCGUAGCUCAGCUGGAUAGAGCGUUGCCCUCCGAAGGCAGAGGUCGCAGGUUCGAAUCCUGCCGGGUGCGCCA
rnacentral:tRNA from 1 species